rnacentral:tRNA from 1 species
GAGUAAAACAUGCAAUAUAAUUGCUAUUAUCA